rnacentral:tRNA from 1 species
UGGGGGAUGGCUCAAUGGGUAAGAGGACUUGCUUUGAAAGCACAAGGACCUGAGUUCAAAUACUCAGUUCCCAU